CCUCAUUCUGAGAAGAGAUAAUUCUCAGGUCUCUGCUGAGAGGAAGUACUCAUGACAAAUCAAAGCUCAGAACUUGGCACAAGACAGUCUCAAUCUUCACCUAACUAAGGAGCUUCCAGGCAAAUGAGGAACAGGCAGAAACUGAACAACAAGAAAGUUUCAGAUGUCUGUUCUCAUCUCCAAGAGAGGUGGUGAUACGGCUAGCCCUGGCUCUCUCCAGCUCUGCAGCAGCCCCCAUCUCAGCUGGUUUCACUGUCUGAUGGUGGGCCUCAGAGUGACUUAUGGAAAUAUUGAACAAAAUGGAGACUAAAAGAAAACACGAGAUCAAAGAUUAAAACAGAA